GAUAGUCUCAUUGCUCACAUUGACUCAUCAUCAUGAAGUACUUGAUAUUAUGCAGCAUCAUGACUCUAUUAGUUCUUACAUCUAUACCGUCAUACCAUGCAUAUGCCGCUGGUGGGGCCAUCCUUCAUAAAGGGAAAAAACGCGACUUUAUACAGUCAAAACGAGCAGCGGACGCAUUUUGUACYAUGGCGAAAAGACACUGUAAAAGAGAAAUGGACAUAGUACCGCCACUUCAAUGAACGACUUAUAAAAGUUACUUUUAAAGUGAACAAGUUGUAAUAUAAAACAUGACAAUAACCCGUAUAAAUCUAUUUAUGACAGUUAAUAAACGUAUUCCAAACAUCUCA